rnacentral:snoRNA from 1 species
UGGCAGUGAUGAUACAAAGGCUGGACUUACGGCUGCUACCAUUUGGUUGUUACUUGGUAGUAGAUUGAUGAAAGUUAGGUUAGGUAUUUUGCUGAGCCAG